UUGAUCUUCUUUGGCACUUUGAACUGUGGCCAGCAAGAAUGAAUUUUUUUUCAAAACACCCGCCAUCAGCAGUCCACAUUUCAAGUGAAGUGCAAUGCUUAGACACCUACAUAUAGUAUACAAGUACUUAAUGAAGUUAAAGAUGUCGCUAUUUUGUUUUUUCUAUACUUAAAUUGCCAGACUGUCUGAUUAACUGCUUCCUUUACAAAGAAACAAAAUACUAUUAACUGCACUUUGUUGAAUUUGAAAUUAAUGUUCUGCUCACAGUUAAGUUUGAUUUCUUGAGUGUCGCUAAGCAUAUUCUCUUAUUGUAAGGGAAACAUGCUAUUUUAAUGAUCAUGCUACCUACUGUUAGUAUCCUUGACAGUUUUUUUUUUUUUAAGACAGGAGUUGAAACCCCGCUCAACUUUAUUGGGUAAUCAACAAAAAAAAGAGAAUGACAAUGCAAAAUCGGGGAAUAAAAGGGCCCCUCAGGCCCUAGCCUUCCCUUUUCCAACUUAGUGAAUAGGUCCAUCAAAGGUUUCCACACAAGUCACAACACUGUAUCAGCAAUCCUAGAGUUAGACAACAUUGUCCACUCACAAAACAAUUCAGUAGCUUGUUUAUUACAAUCUUAGCCAGAUCUAAAUUUUUAAGGAAGCUUCUCUAAUUUCUUUCCUUCCAUAUCCCCUAAAAUUAGGAAACUGCCAAUUAAGAGACCUUUUGUAAGUGCCGAAAGGAAAGAUGACCAAUAUAAAAGAACUUUGAAUUUCAUUAUAUUGCUCACUUAGUAACAUGGCCUAACUGAGGACAUACCCUAGGUGUACAUAUAUGAAUGAGUAUACCAAAACUCAUGUACAUAGAUAUUCAUAGUAUACAUUAUACUUAAAUAUAUCCAGUUUAAUGACAUAGAGGUCACAUUAGUUUGGAUAUGCCCAGUUUAAUGAUGUGGAGGUCAUUAUAUCAUUUUGAAUUUAUCCACUAAUAACAUGUACAUAUCAUGUUUGUUCAAUUUAAUGACAUAAAAAAUGGGUGAUCCAAUGCACGAGGCUCCUGCCAUUGCGAGGUCUAGAGAAGGUCAUAUGUAUGCAAUGUUGCCCCGCAAGCUGAGAGCCUAUUUUCAUGCAUCAAACUUGUGACACCUAGAUUAUAAUGGAGCAACCUUAUCAUUGCAUUAAGGCUUACACUCUUUUAACCACAUUACCUAGUUAUGGUCCCAACAAACCAAGGUCCUAAGAGGGGCAAAUUGAGGAUAGACCUAAUCUUUGUUUUGUUUUUUUCUUCAUGUAUAAAGCAGCUGUCCCAUAACUUGGAGUUGUACCAUUGCACUUGUCAGCCCAAGCCUUUUAUUGCUGCACCAAGCAAUGGUAUCUUUCUUCAAUUUAAUGACAUGAUGGUCAUAUUAUUUUGGAUUUGUCCAAAUGACCGACAGGGAGUCACUUUAUUUUUUGUCUAGUUUAGUGACAUAGUGGUCAUGUCAUUUCUAAUUUGUCUAGUUUAAAAACAAGGUGGUCGUAGCAUUUGGAUAUCUCUAGUCCAAUGACAUUGUGGUCAUCAUUCUGGAUUUGUCCAAAUCAAUGACAUAAUGGUCAUAUCGUUUUGAAUUUUUUUCAAUUCAAUGGCAUAGUAAUCAUUUUAUUUUGAGUUUGUCCAAUUUAACGAUGUGGUGUUCGAUUUAUCCUCUUCCUUCGAUAGAUAGAUCAAGCUCCAAUUUGCUAGGCAAGUUGGCACUAAUGAAAUUUCUCACUCAAUUUCUGACCACUCUAGAAGAAAGACCAUUUAUAGUUAUCCAUUCUUCUUCUCAACCAAACUGCCAAUCUAAGGAUUGAGACAUGGUAGAUCAAUAGGGUAGAAUGAACUGCAUUGAGCAUACCCAAUAUUCCCCCCUAAGACACAAGCUUCCCUCUCCAAACCAACAAUCUUCUCUCCAUUUUCUCAAGGAGAGAUGACAAAUCCUUAUUAGCAAGUCUUUGUCCAACAACGGCAAUCCCAAAUAUUUAAUUGGAAUUUCUUUGACUUACAGUGCAAUGAAGAAGCCAUGUGCUCCCUUAUUAAUUUAUCACAUACCAACACCACCAACGAGGUUUUAUGAAGAUUGAUAGAUAACCUUAGUUCAAAACAAAAGUAAGUUUAACUUCAGCACAGCUACUUGUCCUUUCUCCACCUUCAUAAACGCCAUCAUAUGAUCGGCAUACUGAAGUAGAAUUGUUCCCAAAUCUUGAUCUCGUUUGCAAAGUUCCACUAUCAAGGCCUUUCUUUUGUGAAACCCAAAUAAUGCUUGCCAAAUAAUCAUCAGCAAUAAUAAAAAGAAGGGGGAAAGGGGAUCUCCUUGACGGAGACCCCACUUACAUUGAAUCCAUAUACUUGGUUGGCCAUUGACUAGAACCCCCACCUCACCUGAGCAACCAUGUUUUGAAUCCACUCACAAAAUGAACAGGGAACUCUAUGAAAUCAGGCUAACAACAAGAUGGCCCACUUAAGGCUAUCCAAAAUCAAUCUUCAAGUGUCGUCCUUGUUCAUCUCAUCUCUUACUUUGGUGGAUAAGAUCAUGAGCUAAUAAUAAUUUGUCUUGGAUCAAUCUACCUUUUAUAAAGAUUGACUGAGAUGUAUUCACUAAAUCUGGAAGUAGGGGGUUUAAUUUGUUCGCUAAUACCUUUGACACAAUCUUAUUAAUUCUAUAAAUUAGACCUAUAUGCCUGAAAUUGUUUGGUUUAGUAGCCACUUCCUUCUUAGUAAUUACAACCAGGUAAGCAUAAUUCAAUCUCGAGAGGUCAAUAUUUUUCUCAUAAAGUUGCUUAAAGAGUGUCACCGGGUCACCUUUAAUCAAAUUUAGAGACGGUGGAAGAAAAUCAUUGCAAACCUAUCUAGUCCUGGACUUUUGUCACUCUCCAAGGAGAACACCACAUUUCUACUCCCUUUCUCCAAAAACAGAUUGGCCAAAGAGAAAAUAUCAGGAUGCUGUGCCGGAUAUGGUAUCAAUUUGCUAUAAUCUCACAAUCCCCAGCAGCAGAGAAAAUCUUCUUGAAGUACACCUGGAAAGCUUCCAUAACUUCCUCCUGUUUGUCCAACCAAGUAUCAUCCCACUACAGGGAAGUGAUAACAUUAAAUCCUUAUGAAAACUUGCUGUCUUGUGAAAGAAUGUGUUUCUAAUAUAUUUCCUCUUUGGCAUAGAUGCCCUCUUCCUUCUCCUUUGUCGUUCAUUUGCCUUUAAAUUCCUAGUUCCUCCUUGAUAUCCAGAUCUACACCCUCAACUUCUCUUUCUGCUCUUUUCUAUUAUCUUCUUUAUUUUAAUCCAUCUCCUUAUGGCUGCCCUCACCAUUCAAAGAAUUAAAUCCUUAGCUGCAUAUGUAACUCCCUCAACCUGGCAACAUGCUGUGUCACAAUAUCCUUAACCUCUUCUUCUUCCAACCACUAUUUUUCAAACCUGAAUAAUUUGCUUUUCUUCAGUUUUGACUUGAAGGACAGCAAUAAAGUAACAUGGUCAGAACAGGUGUUAGGAAGAGCUUCCUCAACGGAUAGCCAAAAGACAGUCGCCCACUCUUGUGAUACAAGAAAUUGAUCCAAUUCUGCCAUUGUUGGGUCCUCCCUGUUAUUAGACCAGGUUAACUCUCUUCUUUUUAGGGUUAAAGUCAAUUAACUCCAACUCGCUCAACAACUUUUGGAAGUCAGUUGCUUCACCACCCACUUGAGAAAUCACUCUCCUCUCACCUUUCAGCAGAAUUAAGUUGAUGUCCCUGCAAGCACCCAUAAACCCAAGAAGGUGACCCGAACCUCCUUCAGUUCAUUCUAAAGGGAAUUCCAAAUAUUUUUACACCAGGGCCUUAUGCAGAUGUAGAGAGGUACUUUUGAAUCCAUAUCUUCUGCCUCCACCGUCAACAAAAAUGUUUGAGUUAGUUUUUUUUUUUUAUGUUUGAGUUACUUGAACUUCUAACCAAGAAGUAUAGCACCUGAGGAGGCACUAAUCUGACAUUGAUCAGUCAACCCUCUUCCAAUAGAGUUCAAGAUUUCCUUACAUUUUCCAAAUGCUUAUAUGGUUCAAUUAGGAUACGACCUGAGGAGCCAUUAGAGUUUAGUUUCUGCCAUUCGUCAAUCGACCCUUCUCCAAUAGAAUUCAAGAUUUUCUCGACAGUUUUCAAAUGCUCAUAUGGCUCAAUUACAUUUUUGAACUUUGCAGAUUGUAAAUAGACAAUAAAAUGCUUUCAGACGUAGUGUCGGACUUCUACUAAGGUUUUGUUGCUUGAGAAUUUCCAAACCAAUUUCAAUCAUGCCAUAAGCAAUCCCCUCCAUCUGCUUUUCCAGAAUGUUGAUAGUUUAAAAAUGACUGCAUGAUGCCUUGCCAUCUUGUCAUCUAUCUCUGUAUCUUACGCCUUCAAUGAUCAUCUCUUGUAUAUUUAAUGAAGGAAAUUGCCGUGAUGUAGAGGUAUACUCUUGGGUGUUGUUUGGCACAGCAACAUCCUCUCUCUAAACUGGAGGCCACAACUUUCACUUGAUGAUGUCCUCUGAACAUUAAAUUCAUGUUUGGAUCCAUAGGGAAAAUACACAAUGCAUGAUUCUAUUUUUCAUUCUCAUAAUGUUUUCAAAACCUUGAGGAUCAAGUUAUUAUGGUUUCAUUAACUAUCUCUGAUCAAAUCAUCAACAGAGUAGGUUUGCUUUACUAGAUUGUUAUAGAUGUUCAGAUUUAACCUCCUCUGAUCACUCACUACAAGGACCACCACUGCCUUUUCUUUUUUUUUUUCUUGUUUUCUGGAAAACCACUUAACAAAUUAAUGCAACCUGAUCUGUGAAUAUAAGGUGGUGGACUGCAUAGUCACAAGUUUGGCAUUUAAGAACAGUUCAUAAACAUGCAAAGAUUUGGGAAUUCUGGAAAAAUACAGAAUUUGAAAAAAGCUUAAAAAGAAAAACCACUAGUUAAAAAUUCAAAAAAAAGAACGUGUAGCUACUUACAUAUUCACAUGGAAACCAGCUUGGACAGGCAAUAACUAGCAGAAACACUACCGUAUACAAUAAAUAGCAUCAUUGAUCUGUAAUGAUGAAAAAUCCUGAAUAAACUUUAAUAACUGAAUUACCUAAAAUAACUAUAGAAUCAUUUGGCCAAUGAAAAAAUUGUGAAUGAUACAAAAGUUCGUCAGUAGUUCAGAGAACAUUAUUUCUAAUUCACUAUGCUGGACUUGUGGAGUAAACUAGUUAUACAAAAUUAUGCUGGAAGUCCAUACUUCAUUGUGCACCAUCCUAUUUAGCCCAUCAUUCAUAAAACAUCUAAAACAACCUUAAACUUCAAACAAUAUGGGCAAUGUCUUCUAUCAAUCUCUGGCAAAGUCAUCAGACUUUUUAAUAAAUCUCAAAAAAUAUUGCUUCUAGAUGUUUAUUAAGUUGUACUUACACAAACCAUGCAUACUUCUAUGCCGCUCUAUAUUACCUGCUACUCGCCUUUAAGCAUUUCCAUAAACAAUAGAAAAAUCAAGACUUUAAAAUUAUUAGCAAGUAUUGUCCAUAUAUUGCAUUGGCUUAAUGGAUCUAUUCAAAAUCCAUUGAAGUUUGAGAAUUCUAAUGAUCAGCUCAAAAUUUUACAUCCUCCCCGAAUUGGUGCAAACUUCCUAGGAAAAACAAGUACGAGCAAGUGAAGAACUUGCCAUGAUAUUUAGAAGGCCAAUCAUUAAUGAGGGGAGACCUAAGUCACUGGUCACACCAUAUAAACUCAUAAGUCAAGCAGCAAUUAGGAUUCUUUUUUAUUUGAAAGGCAUUUUGACAAAGAGAGAAGGCAAAAGUUGAUGUAGUGAGUUCCAUUCAUCUCACAAACAAGUAAUAGAGCCACAUCAAAACACGGCCACCAAAUUGGUAGGGUUCUACGUGACAACUGCCCUAGAACCCUGGCAUUUUGAUGCUGCAUUUGAUUUGCCCAAAAUUCCUUAGUUUGAUUUUUGAUGUAUUUGGUGCUUUGUUACCAUUGCACACCUACUAAAUCUCCUGAUUGACCUGUCAUAUACUCCAUUAUAGUGGUUUGCUUCUUAAGGCUACAUCCUAGCAUAGUUUCAUUCCAGAAUCAGGCCUGAAUAACUCUUAAAAAUUCUUUUGCUGCUACUGAUGUUCCGGCUGGUCUGGAUUUUAUCUCGUAAGCUACCUGUCAUAUUCUCCACUGUGCUGGGCUUUUUUUCUUAAGCAAAUUCAUCAAAGAUGGGCCAGAUAUGUGGACAAGUAGGAUAUGGAUGUGAUGAGUGGGACCCGAUAUUUCUGAUGUAACUUGAAAAUCAUGAAUUUAUGAGGAUGUUCCUGAUGUCCUUCAACCUCGUGUUUAGAUAAUCUUUUGUUUUGAAUUCACAAGAAGAUUGGAGCAUGUAAAAACAACCUAAUAAAAUAAUAAUUUCCAUCCAUGGUUUUAAAUAUUUUCAGUGUUCUUUUCAUGUGCAGGGAGAUAUUGCAGAGCUGUAUGGUGUUGAUUUGAGACCGUAUGCCCUUGCAGCUGCUGAAGACUGCAGCAGGAGUUUGGGUGAUUACGUCAGUCUUGAUGUUUUAAAUGCCAUUCAGAGGACAGCUGCCAAGCCUUGGGUAUCUAACAAACCUUAUGACAAAAAUGCUUGUGUACCUGACUUAAGUGUGCUUUCACUUGAUGCAAACAAGCUAGAAAAUAAUCUAGUGGAGGCCAUCCUAUGGUGGACUAAAGUUCUCAAUGUUGGAAGUGAAAGGUUUGCUAUUACCUCCAGUUUACAUUCAGUACAAUCUUCACAAGUUGUCAUCUUAAAAUGUCAUCUGAGGUAGUAACUUCAACUCUGGUCACGACUUUCUACUCACUUGCCUGGAUGUAAUUGCAGGAGCAAUCAGAUCAACCCAGCUAUUGCAUUAGCAUUCUAUGAUAAAUAUCACAAGCUUCCUUCUGCCUGGAAGCUUAGUACUUCUUUGCCAACUACGACAGAUGAUGAAACUAAAGUUCUUCAUUUUGAUGGACCUGCAAAGGUCUGCUCAAAACAAGUGCAUCAGUAUCAAGGAUCAGAACAUGGCAAUGUUUGGCAGAAAUAUCUCCCUCCAAAUUCUAACAUCAUCUUGAGCCAUUGAAACUGCAGAUUUAUACAACACCAUGAUUGUAGUUUAUCACCAUCCUAUGAGUGUUUCUCUGUUACUGACUGUGGCUUCUCAAAUGAUAUCUUGACGUUUACAGACCAGGAAAUUAAUUUUCAAUUGUAAAGGAGAUGCCUAUUUAACAUUAAAUUCCUGCAAGAAGAAAAGAAAAAUUUGCCGAACAUUAAGAGUUCAUGCAAUUUGACUGUUUGCGCAAGCAUAUGGACCUUGUCGUGCUGCCCAUGGAGAAGGAACUCUGUAAAUUAUAUUCAAGCAAAUUGUACAAGGUUGGAGAUAAAGUGUUGAUAUUGGUGGCCUAUAUUCAACAAAUUUUGUACUAGUUGAGCCAAGCUAUUUAGUUAUUGAUUGUGAUUAGGUAAAAUGAUUGAUAUGUGUCAUGUGUUCGCUUUUUUUUUUAUAAUCAAUUUCUUUAGAAGAGCAGAAUUGGGCAUUUAUAGGCCAUUUUGGUGUUUUUUUUUCUUGGCAGUAAAUAUAUUCGAACUUGUGCUUAAUUGUUGUGAAUUAUGAUGCGUCAUGCUUUUAUCCGUACUCAUGUAUGCAUACUUGGGAUAGAAUUGGUUGAUGCUUGUUGCAAAGGACCUGCGCUGGAAUGGAAGAAGCAAGGGAGAGUAAUAUAAUUCAAAGAGCGGUUUACAGUUAGAUUAGAAAUCAGGAGAUCAGCGUUGUGUAUGCUUAAACCGUGUGGUAAUGAAACAUUAAUUGUAUGCUAGUCCCGUUUGUUGGAAAUAAUGGCAGUUGGAGAGUUGUUUCAUGCUCUCACUGGAUAGGCCCAGAAAAGCUGGACUUUUCGAAUUGGGCCAACUAGUCCCCCGCCGGGGGGGGUGGGGGGGGUGUUGGGGGGUGGACCUUUGCCCUUUUUUUUCCCUAUAUUUUGUUUUAUCUAUUUAUUUUAGUUUAGUUUAGUUUGUGUGUAAGGAAUGCCAAGUAAUGUUUAACAACAAUGUUUUUUUUUUCAUUUUACACAGUCUUUAGCACGAUAGAAGAGGCCUCCUACAGUACCAAGCUGGUGUGCUCCUCCAUACAGGAAGCAAUCCAGUCAGCCGUCCUGUGAGCCUUCUAAAAAAUAUAUCUCGCUGUACAAGAAGUUAUGCUUGGUUUGAGUCUCCAAAUAAUGUUUAACCACAAUACUUUUUAGCCUAUUACAGUAAGGGUAGAAGGUUGGUGUAGGGUGAAUUGAAGAAUGGAAAGUUUAAAGGAUGGAAGAAGGAAUAGAUAAAUGAAGUUUUUUUUUUAGAGAAAGAAACUAGUAAUUCUAAUUCCUGAAAUCUAAUCUUCUGUGUACUACUAUACAUAACACCCCGUAAAAUUGAGAGAGAUCGUUGCAACUCCUCAUCUUGGCGAAACUUCUCUUUUUUUUAGAAGGAGACUGUUAUUACAAGCAGAUCACAGGAUGUUUCCUUACUUUGUACAAAUAACCAGAAUUCAUUAGCCCUCCAAAGGGGCAUUUUGGUUGCAUCUGUCGUAGCUUAGUCCUCUUUUUUUUCGCGAUAAAAACAUCUUGUUGUAGCUUGUUGGAAGUAGAUAUUUUUGAGGGAAAAAGUAAUUGGAAGUACAUAAGAAAGCGAUGAGCGGAUGGCAAAGGCCCCACAAUUGGCUACUCGGUGUGCUUAUUAAUGUAGCAGCAGCUUCCGUAGACCGUCACCCUCACUUUUUUCAUCCUUUUUUUCUCAAUGAUCAAGCUUGUGGCUAAGUUUUAACCAAUAUUCAACCUACAUAAAAUGCCAAUGGAUCUCAGCAUCUGCCUUCAGAAGUUGAUAUGAUUUCGAGCAUUCAUGCAUCAGUUAUCUGAUAAAUAUAUGUGUGUGAAGCAGGUCAUCGAUCCCAUGAACUUCUACGCAACGGCAAGUAUGAAUCAUCUUGUUCAUCUUGAUAAGGCUAUGAGCCAUCAUUUUGUUAGAAUUUGAGACGCAUUGAGGUCGGCUUAGCAAUUGGCAGGCAUGGGUCUCUACAGCGCGUGUUAUGAUUCAAGUCCCCACGCUAUUUUUUUUGGCAAGCAGGAUAUGAGACUUUGAAGCAGGCCAUUCACAUAUCUAGGGCUGCAUGAAGAAGUUUAAGUUCACAGAGAGGUAGUUUAUGGGGAACAAAGCAUGCUCUUAAUUAUAUUGCAUGCAUGCUUGCCUCCCCUUUAGAAAAAGAGAUGCUUCCAAGUCUCACAUACUUGCACAGCAAGACCCACUAAGGAAAGCAUGGACGUUGCCGCAUCUCAUACCCAUGUCUAUCCCAUCACUGCGCAUGCUUACCUUCGCAAGCAAGCUCUUAUUGCAUGAAUACGUGAGCUACAAAAAUAUAACUUUAUUUUUCUUUUUCACCCUCUCUCUCUCUCUCUCUAUNNNNNNNNNNNNNNNNNNNNCCUCCUCUCUCUCUCUCUCUAUGUUCUCCUUUCCCUUGGCUUCCAAAAGGAGGGUUACUUUUUAUGGUUCGCCCUUGCUCCAUUGAGGGGUUGCUUUCAUGCCAUCAACUUCACUAUUGAGACAUCUCUCGAGGGGGGGCAAAAAAGAAAAACUACAGUACGUUCUUUUGAACAAAAGAAAAGCCUCACUGCUGAGACUGGUAAACUUGAUGUAUGAUUCAAAUAUUCUUUAAUUUCCUAAAAGUGAUUUAAGAUUCUCCUCUUAAUUUUUUGAUGGCCUUGAUAUAUCCAAAUUAUGUAUUAGUUCUUUAGGUUCUUUUAGGCUUACCGCUUACUCAUGCCACUCAUUUAUCAGUUUUUUAUUUAUGUUCUUAAGCAAACAGCUGUAAUAUUCUUGGACAGCUAAUUAGUUAAUGUAACCCUGCCAGUGGAAAUCUUGUAAUUAUUUAGAGCAAGGGAUGUCAAUGAAAAGGAGACUAAUUGAUAGAUUUGAUUCAAUGAGCUGGCCUCCACAGCUUAAAGACUUUUGCUGAUGUUACAUGCACUGUUUAAAUUGGAGAGGAGGCAAGUCCGACUUCUUCUUUUUUUCUGAUAUAACAAAAUUAAUAUUUUUGCCAAAAUAAUUAAUAGAGUAGUUGCCACUCAUUGUUGGUAGAGACUUCAAUUAAUACUUUGUCCACAAGGCAUCUCACGGCUACUGUUGCUCGGCAAAAAAAUUUUAAUUACGAACUAAAGAGAACCAAUAUUAAGCUACUAAGAGCUCGAUGUAGAAAUGUGCUAAGAGCUCGUUGUAGAAAUAUUUCUUUUUUUUAUAUAUAGGGUAUAAUUUGAUCUAUAGCCAAUGAGACUGAGGCCUUCUGGUUGGCACCUCUCUUUUAAACCCAUGCAUCAGAUAGAGAGCUUCUGGAUUCUCGUAUGAAGGAAAUGAUUUUACUAAUUUUGUUAAUUUAACUGGAGAUAAGUAUAAGUUUUAUAAAUUAUUAGAUAUAAAUAUAUAUUUUUUAAAAAAAUAAUUCAUUUUAAAAUAAUAUUACUUUGUGACAAGAUCAUUGCGGGGACUUGAGUAAAGUUAAUGCUAGGGAUCUUACUUUGUGGGUAGGAAAAUUUCUCUUUUCCAUAACGAGAAUUUACAUAAAUUAUAAAAAAAAAGAGUACAUAUAAAGAUGGUUUAAUGAUAAAUUAUCAAAUAAUAAUAAUAUAAAGUAGGGUUUGGCAUCAAAAGAAGGGAUCGGAAUGAUUCAUGCAAGUUAUCAGUAGGUUCUGAUGUAAAGUGCCAACUCUUUUAUAAUAAGCGGUGCUUAAGUUUUUUCUCGGUACGAACACUGGCAUCAUAAAGUAUUUCUGAGAUCGGUAAAAGAAAGCUCGGAAAAAAUAAACACGCUUUCGUGUGCACUAGCAGGAACCUCCAAAUAUUUUUCUCUGAGAAAAAUGAGUGAUGUUAGAGAAAGGUAGGAUAUGAUGCCCAUGCGGCAACCCCACACGGAUAUGGUCUUGGUUUCCUUAAAAAAUAAACACACUUUAACAACUUCUCCACUCUUACGUGACAUAUAAGAUUUUGACUUGGUCAAGAGAUUUUUUUUAUAGAGAUUAAGAGAUAAUCUUUUCUUACGUAUCUCUUUGGAUGCGACCCUUUAUAUCAAAGAAAUAGAUUGAACAGGUCUUGUCACAUUAAAGGAGAUGAGGUCUUUUCACUCUUUAAUACACGAGUCCUUUUGUGGAUUCAUGAGUCCUCUCCACCCUCUCCCAUGUGAGGAGGCAUAGUUUUUCCUGCUGGUCAUGUGUAUGUUGAAGCUACAAAUGCAUGCAUGGCAGGAAUCCAUGAAAGUGUCCACGCUUUCCGAAGGGAAUCUUGUUAUUUUAGACAGAUCUCUUCACGUUAAGACCGUAAAAAUGAUAAAGAGUACUGCCUUGGUGUUUGAUAGGCACCCAACCAAAUAGGCUACUUUAAUAAAGAAGAUUCUUCAAGAGAACUCAAUGAUCAAGCCAUAUGAACACCGUUAUAGGUGGUCAAAUUUGUAGGAUAGAUCCAAGAGCCUUUCUUACUUUUAUAGGCGGUGAAAUCAGAGCUUGUAGGAUAAAACCUGCGAAGUUAAAGAGAGGAGGACGGCCGGUAGACUCAGGAUCCUUUAUGAUGCACAUCUUGAGUCAUGCUGUAUAAUGCUCGGUGGCUGCCGUCAAAAGAUGGACAGCUAUCAACAGCAAUGCAUUAGGAAUAGUUCAUAGAAUUAUUUUUUUCGAUAUCCAUCUAUUUUCAUAAUCUAAUGAUGUAACAACUAUCACUACAAGAAAACGAAGCAUUAGCGACGCUUUUUUAGGUAAUUACCGAUGCUAAGGAACAGCAGAGAAACUAUGCUCAUGUAGUAAAUAAGAGUAGAGAGAGAGAGAGAGAGAGAGAGAGAAACAGCCAAUUGGAGUAGACAGGCAUGAUCUUGUUGCUAGGAGCCAGUGAGAGGCUUAGUUCAUUGUGGAUAGGUCUCACAGGCUGACUUGUAUGGCUUAGAGAAGUCUACAAACUCUUUAUUCCAGAAAGACUUGGAUUUUAUAAUCUUUGGUAGCUCGUGGAAGUAGUAUCCUAGCUCUUUUGUGUAGUUUAGCGAUAUCAAAAACUGCCCCACGUCGUUGGUCUAAAUAAAUAAGCCAAACUCACAUUUACUAUUCCAUUAGUGGAGCUUAAUGAUUUGGUCGAAGUAUAAAGCCAACCACUUCCGAUGAUAAUUUUCCCCUCAAAAGUUCUUUUGUCCUCACUCUCUGAGGUCGCUAGGAUACGGCCUCUUGCGCACACUGAUGGCCUCCGUUCGCCAAUCAAAACCUUGCGGAGGCAUGCAAGUUUCUUUACUCGUUGUACCAUAGUUUUUAGAGUGAAUAUCAUCAGAUAAAGGCUUAACCAAAUCUAUCUUUUAACAAAAAGAAAGUAAAACAAAAUAAAAGCCAUCCCAAGCUCCAAAUAAGUUUCUGAUACUGAUCAUAAAUUGCAGGAGGAACCUACCUUUAAGACUUGGAGCUUUAUAACCUCGUGAAGAUACAAGAUUAAUUGAUAUUUCUGAAGGAUAGGGUGACUAAUUUAUUUUUUUUAAAAAAAUAAAAUGACAUUGUUUUAUUUUAGAAAAGGAUCUCUCUCUAUCUCUCUUUCUCUCUCUCUACAUAUAAAUAUGAAUAUUCUACUCAGCAUAUUUAAUUUAGUAUUGCCACUCGAGAGUCAUAAUGUUAUUACUGUAAAACUUUUUUAUUAGAAUAUUUUUGUUUCUUCUUUUGGGAGUUAACGAUAAUUUUUCUAGGUCGUCUGAAAAUCUCUUUCAUGUAGGACUCUUUACAGAAAAAUCUGUUUCUGGGUCGUCUGAAAAUCUGAAAAGUUUUGAGUCAUGGACAUAGGACCACCUAUUGCUCAUGCAAAUUGGGAUCCUUAAUUAUUUUGGUCAACGAACUAUAGAAACUUUUACUCAUCAGAAUAUAUCUAUAUGUGUGUGUAAAUAUAUAUAUGGACAUGCAUGCACAUACAUACAUACAUACAUACAUACAUAUAUAUGGAUGUGUGCGAAUGCAUGCGUGGUAGCAAGGCUUGGCCACUAGUGCUCUGCCUCGUUGGGAAGUAAAAACAGGUACAAAUAAAACGAAUUGAUAUCCUAUGAGAAAGACAUCGAGCAAGAAUUAUUUAGCCUACACAUAUACUCAUUAUACCGAAUGUAAAGAUACAUUUGUUUGUAAAAAGCUAAGCAAGUAAUGCCAAAAUAUACCUAUAAUAAGUCAUAGCACAUAUUGUCGCAAGCACCUCCUAUAUCAUACUCAAGGUGGAUUUUUGAAAGAUUUCAACACGAAUGGCAUUAAGUCAUAAAUUUCUUCUACCAACACACAGGAAAUGAACAAUUCAAGGUUGAUACCACGCGGCACAGGAGUGACAAAUUUCUAGAUUCAUUGUGACUUUUGAGCCUAAAUGAUUAGUUGAGAUGCUAAAAAGCUUAAGAUGCUAACAAUAUGAUUCUUUACAGUAUCUUUUCCUCCACCAACUUCAUUGCUCAUCAAUCACAUCCAACACGUUCUGUCCCCACAGUAUCUUCUUACUAAAGUCUUUUGUUUUUUUUCUACUUCAUCUUUAGUCUCGCUGAGAUCAGCUUUGUAUAUAGUUUUCUCUUAAGGUUCCCAACUUCGCGCUGUCUAAUUAUGCCAAAAUUAACAUUAAGCAUGAUUUGGUGUCUAAGAUAGUUUGGCAAAUUAAGGCGAAGCUGAAACAUGGUGAAAGAUUGCAAAAAAGGGAUGAUAAACAAUAGCAUUGAGAUUAUCUUUCUAUUUAGAUUUUAGGGUUCACAACUUUACAUCAAGUCUAUUCGUGCCGAAAUUAAUAUUAAACAUGAUUUAGUGACCAAGACAGCUUUGCAAAGGCAAGUUGAAACAUGAUGAAAGUGAUUGCAAAAGUGAGUGUUCAGGGAAAAAAAGGCUUCUUGGGUCUAAAUAGUUGUUAAAUGGUGUGGCCUACCAACACAAAUACAUUCAAAAAUAAUAAGGCAGUUUUGCAAAGGCAAAGCUUAAACAUGAUGAAUGUGAUUGCCAAAAAAGGGUGGCUAAAUUAUUUGUUAAGUGGUAGGGCCUACCGACACAAAUGCAUGCAAAUUAAUUAAGAUGAUAAAAUAAAGGAAAAUAUCCAACCUGCCAGAUUCGAACUAGCAACUUAAAGAUUAAUCUNNNNNNNNNNNNNNNNNNNNNNNNNNNNNNNNNNNNNNNNNNNNNNNNNNNNNNNNNNNNNNNNNNNNNNNNNNNNNNNNNNNNNNNNNNNNNNNNNNNNNNNNNNNNNNNNNNNNNNNNNNNNNNNNNNNNNNNNNNNNNNNNNNNNNGGAUGAACCAGAUUUUCUUCAUGGCAACCGAUGACAGCCAGUGAGAAGCCCAGGUAAGCAUGGCAAGUAUCAUAAUUAAGGCCGCAAAUAGGUCGAAUUAAACCAAGGCAUGCUUGACCUUAACCUGGCCCAAUUUUCAUGUAUGUCUUGAUAUUGGAUUUGGACCCAAUCUAGUAGAUGAUCAGGUGGGUUAGAUCGAAUCCAAGGCAAAUAAUUUAGACCAAAUAGGUCGUUCAGAUCGGGUUGAGAUCAUGUGUGAUCGGGGCCUAACACAAAUUAUUUGUGUUCGGGUCGGAUUCAGUUCAGAUCUAGGUCUAUAUUUGUUUAUUAAUAAAAUUUCAUAAAGAAAAUUUUUCUUUACUUCUAAAUUAAAUUGAAUUUUGAUUGUCCCAAAAUCGAUUGCUAAUAUGAUGAAAGCUUCAUGAAUUAAUGUUUAUCUAAAACUACAAUCUGUUUCAAUAAAUAAACUCAAGAGAGCUUUUUUAUCUUAAUAGAAAAAAAGAAAGAAAUGUCUUGAAAAACUUUCUUUGAGUCAAUUUGGAUUAGGUCAGGUAACCAAUAGAAAGACCUAAAAUAGAUCUAUAUAGUAUACAGAUCGGGUCAACUCAAAUCGAGUCGAGUCAAGGUUUUCCAGACCCAACCCAAAAUAUAGAACAGACCUAACAUUUGAUCCUAUUAGCUCCAUGUGUCAUCAAGAACAAGUUGGAUUGGCUUUAAACAGGUUAAGUCGGGUCGGGUCAUAGGUCAACCCAACCCAUUUGCAACCUUAGCCACAAUUUGGGCAAAGUCUAAGAGUCACAAUUGAUACACUAUAAUGAAGUCCCCCUAGAUGGUUUAAAAUAUGUGUAGAUAAUUUAGUAAUUUAGGAAAAUUUCAAGGGUCCUAACUGAUACCCUAUAUCCAGUGGUUAUAAUUGAUAACCCUCUUCCAAAAUCCUUCUUCCUCCCCUAAUGGUUUAUCUGCUCCACCCAUUAACACCUCAUUUUCCUAUCACUGGUUCCUCCCACAAUCUCAGUUGGCCCUUGGUUUUCACCAACAAAAUGGACCAUGUCGAAGCUGUGAGAUGAAAAGAGGAAGAGAGGAAGAUUUGUUUCCAGUUCAAAAAAAUUAUUCAUAUACCCAUAUAAAAUGGAUGGACAGGAUUAUACUUAACUUUUUUCGAAAAAUAAUAAAAAAAGUAAUGUAUAUAUAGGAAGUUGAGGCUCCAUUUUAUGAUUUGUUCGGUAGAGAUCUAAUUGCUCCAAUCCAUUUUUUAUUCAUAGUUACAAAAAAAGGAUUUCGGUUANNNNNNNNNNNNNNNNNNNNNNNNNNNNNNNNNNNNNNNNNNNNNNNNNNNNNGGGACGCAUUUUUUUUGGCAGUUUUCUGGAUGUUAAAUACCAAUGGAUGGGUUAUUUUUUAUUGGCAUUGGAAACACAUCACAUUAUGGCAAGGUAACGUUUCACAAUUUAAUGAAUCCUCCACUUAUUUGAUGGGGUACAAUAGCAAGUCCCCAGGAAGAUUAGCUAGAAUUAUGAUUUGCUAUUUCUAUACAGCUAAUCAAAAUGGUAGGAUCUUUUACAAACUUAGCACAUUUCUGAUUUCUCCUACCACAUGUUGCUUUGUUAUAAAAUUCGAUUUCAGAUCAUGCAGUCUUUCAUUUCUUUUACUUUGUGUUGCUUGCUUGAUUUUAAUGUAACUGGCUGUGCUCAUACUAGGAUAAUAUGAGCAGCCGAUUUACCAAAAAAAUAAAAUCUAGAUAACUAUAGUACAUCUGCAUUCUCUCCCUUUCUUUCUAGAAAAGAAUUGCUUCCUCCCUAUAUUUUCAUAUAAUUAUAUAAUUUUCUUAGUUUUAUUUGAUAUAUGCAGGUCCUAGAUUUAUUGAUUACACCUCUCUUCCUUCUAUAUAGACCUUGGCUUGAGAGUGUUACAUGGCAGCAAUAAAAUAUAGACAAGUUUGUAUAUCAAUUUGGGCACGCAGAGUCUGCGAGAGAGAAAGGGAAAUAACUUUUUGAGUUUAUCAUGGAGCACCCUCUCUCACUUGCCCUUUUUCUCAAACGAUUGGAAGGCAUGUGGCUGCUGCUUAAAAUCCAAUGGCUAUCCAAGAUUCUUUGACUCUCUUUUGUCUCCCCGUAUGUUUUUCUGACUUGACAUCGCCCGUUGCAUCAUGCCAACCUUUCACCUCCCCACGUUUUAUUGUCUUCACCAUUUUUUGUCUCCUAAAUUCCUAACUUAAAACAUUGAUUAAAUUCUAUGGAGGAAAAAGAAUGGAAUAGGAGUGGCUGGAAGAGGAAUAUCUUCCUAACAUGAUGCAUCUGUUGCAUUAGUUAAUUUGCUUAUUUGUCAUGUAGAGAACUUAUUGUGUCACUACUACUUUGAAUGUGUUAAUUUGUAGUACUGGGGCAUACUUCAACCUUGUUCUUCAAAUGCCUUCCAUAUUAAUGUCAUAAGAUUUUCAUAUAUUACAAUCUCUUGCCUACUCAGUCUUGAGUUUGUCUCUUCCAAUUCCAAUCCAUUCUAUCAACCUCUUAGUAAUAUAAUUGAUGACUCCACAAUGCCAUUUGCAUUAAAAAGAUGCUUGAACAUUCAAAUAACAUGGUGAAAUUAAUGGAAAUCUGCUAACGCGUGUCAAAAAAAAAAAAAAAACAUUUUCAUGAAACUAGAUCAAUUUUCGAAUGAGCAUGCAGUAGGAAUGUAAAUUAGGAUAGAGAUCUAAUGUGUUGUAAAAUUGUAGGAUGUAUUUUUAGUUUGCUAUACUGGAUAGAUUAAUGAUUUUUAUAAUUUUAUUCAGAUCUUUCUUGUUUCCUGAAUUGUAUAAAGAAUUUUAUCUGCUGUUAUUUUUCGUAUUGUUUUUUGCACCAUUUCCCAGCAUGGUAUUUAUGAUUUAUUGAUGUCUUUAUGCUCUUAAUUUUUUUUAAAAAAAAAUUGCUGUCCUUAUAUUUCAAUUCAAUAAAAGGAUGUUUUUGAAUUUUAUUGUCAAGUAUUAUAAUACUGUUGUUAUUAACCUAACUAUGAGGGACAAUAAUAAAUAUUGAGACCAAACUCUUGAAAAUGGCUCCUAAUUUGCAAUCGGUAAUAUAAGAAAGCUACGAUUCUUAUUGUUGUCCUGAGUAGGUUGUUUGAAGACACAUACCAAUUAUGCAUCAUUUAGCUGCAUAAUGCAAGAUCGUACUAUAAUUAGCAUGUAAUCUACAUGAUUGCAUCCAAAUAUUGUAAAAAUGGAUAUAUAAGAUGGAAAACCCAUGUGUGGGACUUCCUGCAUCGAUAGUUGGAUUAGAAAUUAAAAUAAAAAGAUGUCGGAAAGAGAUAUGACAAUAGUUGUAAUGAAAAUACAUGAUAGUGAAGGGAUGUGAUUGGUAGCCAUAUGAUUUGAAAUAAUACACACCUAUUUAUAAGUGAGUGUUGAUAGAGAGAUAUAAUAGUGGAAGGAUGCAUCUCUUAUAAGUGACUAUUGGUAGAGGGACAUGAUGAUGAAGGGAUGCACCUCUUCACAAGAGACUGUUAAUUAAGGGAUGCACCUCUCCAUAGGUAACUAGUGAUAGUUUAUAAAAAUAAAUGAGAUUACAUCCUGAGUCACUCACUUUUCUUUCAAACACCACAACUAUUAUUCAUAUUAUCAUUCUCUUCCCUUCUUCAUCUUUAUUUCUUUUCAAGAAAGUUUGUAUUCCUAAAUUCCUUAGCAUAUUCAAUUAGAUCAUGGUCCAAUUUUUUUCAAAAAAAAAUCUAUUGUUAAAUAAAAAAACCUAUGAUGAAAAAUUAUGGAAGGAAAAAAAAAAUCAUUCCUCAUCUAUCAUAGAACAAAAUUUUGACCCAAGCUCUAGGUUUGUAGAGUGAACAAAUCUUCUUCUUUUUUUGUCCAUCUUUUCAAAUAUGAAAGAGGUUAAACCCAUCCUUCCCUCACAAUAAGUGAACUCUUAUUUUUAUGGAUAAAUUGUAAAAAGAAAUACUUCAUUGUAUAAAAAAAUACUCCUUUGCUUUUAUUCGGUGUUAGUAAAUACUAUUUGCUGAUGUAUGAGCAUACAAGUGAUUGUUAGACUGGUCCACUGAACCUAAUCUAUCUAAUAAUUUCUCUUCUUGUUCAUUCCAUAUCCCUUACAUGUGUAAUCCAAUAGCGAUCCAAUCUAAAUUCGUGAUCCAUCUCUCCAUUUCUCUGGGUUCCAAAAUUUCUAAUCCAAAGUUCCAAACCCAAAUCUUUUUUUUUUCUUUUUUUUAUGAAACUAAUGGCCUAAGAUAAAUGUGGAAUUAUCUAAAGGUAGGCUUUGUCCAACAAACCGCCAGCACUCUAUCAAAUGAUAACCUUCCCCUCCUCCUCCUCCUCCUACUACUAGUAGGAGGGCCUUCCACCUUGUAGAUGGAUGCAGUUGACUGGUUUUCAUGUUACCUCUUUAAAAGAUUUCCCGACAUAACAACGUGGCCCCCAAAAGGCCAAAACCACUCACCUAUGCUACCUUUUUCUUUAGCACCGUUUCUAGGUUUUUCAAAGAAAUUUUCUUUGCCAUUGCUCACUUCACCAAAUUUGAUGUUAUGUUAUAAAUUACAAAUGAUAAAUAUAACAAGAGGUUAGCAUGAACCAUGCGUAUGAAAAAUAUAAGUAUGAAUGUGUAUGCUAGUCAUUUUAUUUAAUAAAAAAUAUUUUAUUAUUUUAAUUUGAUAAUUAUUUGUUUUCCUUUAUAUCUUAUUAUUAUAAUUGAGAUUCUUCUAUUUCAAUUCCAUUUCAUGAUUCAACUCUGUUUAUUUAUUUGUUUAUUUCCAGCCCCACAUAGAGUUUCAACCCGGCAUCUUUUUUCAUCUCUUCUCAACAUAUUUAUCUUCUUCUUUCUAUCAAGGGCUCACGCACAGCACAUGCAAAAUACUAGUUAUUGAAAAAGGAACGCUUAUGUUGAACUCUAUACUGAGGAGUAAUCAAACUUUACUUUUAUUUUGCUGCAAAAUAUAUCCCUGUUAAAAAGUGCAGAUCAAACUAUCUUUGUAGGGCACGAUCUAGUUUCUUUUUAUUAUUGUUAUUUUCAAAGAUCAUGAACUCAAUUUCUCUCUUUUUUUUUCUUUUCUAUCCUUUUAUUGUGGAGCUUGCUUGCAAUAUUAUGUCCAAAACACUGGUCAUUAUAGUAAUACAAAGUCUGUGCAUAUAUACAUCUUCAUCCCUUGAGUUCUAUUCUAAUUAGGCCAACAUUCCAUUCAAGAUCACCUCUCUCUCUCUCUCUCUCUCUCUUUCUAUUUUCUUUCUGGUAAAUCCUCCACCUGGAAGCCUAUAUAUACCAAGUUCUCCAUGAGCUGAUGGCCUUCUCUCAAAAAUCUAACUCAUCUUGGACUCCAUUUUUUAUAUAUGUAUUUAAUGGAAGUCCCAUGUUCUCUUGCAUGCAUCAAACAUGCUAAACUCUAAUAUCUUAAAUUUUAUAAGGUGUGCUUUCCUUGCUUCUCUCCUUAAAAGUAGGACUAAGAUAAUAAGAUAAAAUAGGAUAUAGUUAUUUUAAGCGAAAGCAGUUAUAGUAGCGAGAGAUGUAAAUAUAAACGAACGUGGUCUUACAUAUAACGCCCUGGAGUUUGGAUUCAAUAUUAAGUACAUGUUGCUUACUAGCUAAGAGUGCAACUAAGAUCAGAUCAUGCCUAGCUCCGUCCCACUUGACUAGGGUUGCAAGUCUGCUAGGUGAGACGAAGUCUAAAUCUAGGAUGCUAUACUUGGUACCUCCAACUAAUAUUUCUUGGACCAAUUCAGAUCCAAGUAGGUCACACACAACUACUUUAUGAAACUUACGUCCAAUUUGAUUGGGGACCAUGUCUGUCUUUGUGACUAAUGCUUGAUUUAGUCUCAACUUCAAAAAUAGGUUAAAGUUAGAGUUGGAUCUUGCUGCCGCCGAAAGCCGGCCGAACCAGACGAGUCGGUGGGGGUUUGGCCGGUUCAUCUUAUCAACAGAGAUCGGUUCUGAAAUGUAAAAGAUCUAAACCUAUGCGCUCUUACUCAGCCUAAUCCACAUCAAAUGACUGAAAAUGGGAUAUCUGUGACCUACUAGCUCUAAGUUCAUCAGACCAGAUUGAUCAAAACUCAACGUAACCAGGUUCUAGCUAGCUCAAGCACCAGGGAGACAGGCCCUAGAAGAGACCUUCUUGUAGAGGUUGGUCAGUGCAGUCUAUGGCCACCCGCCACCCCGAGUUUGUACUCUUUUAGGUACCAUUGCAAAAUUUUAAACACCAGAGAUCGAGAAGUAGUAGGUACUAGAAGGAGAUAGAGGAUGACAUGCAAGGGAACAAGAGGGAAGAUUUCUCCUACGGAGUCCAGUGUCUUCACCAUACCAUGUCUGCAUGUACAGUAUAUAAUACACACACAAAUAUAUAUGUAGACAAAAUAAGUACAACUGGGACGCUACAACAUCUUGUCAACAGGGAUGUUCUUGUCUUGCCAAAUCUACACUAGCUCCCCCACCCACCCCUCGCUUUAUCCUCCCCCUCUUCCUUUUGUCCUUGGCUCUCACUUUUUCCCUCUCCUCCUUUAUUUGUCUUCUAAAAAGUUUCAAGGCCAAACUGCCGAGUGUGGGUGUUAAGGUGCAGUUGGCCUUCUAGAGGGGCGGCCAAAGAGUGCCCAAUUGGAAGUGGAAAGGAAAGCAGAGAGAGAGCGUGAGAGAGAGUUAGGAAGUUGGGAGUUUUUGUGAUUGAGAGAAUGAGGGAGUUGGGGAGGAAACAGGGGACGGUGUCGCCCUGCGCCGCGUGCAAGCUGCUACGGCGACGGUGUGCGCAGGACUGCAUCUUCGCGCCGUACUUCCCGGCCGACGAGCCGCAGAAGUUUGCCAACGUGCACAAGGUCUUUGGAGCUAGCAAUGUCAGCAAGCUCCUGCAGGUCUCUCUCUCUCCUCCCCCCUCCAUGACUUUGAUGGCUUUUCUGCUAUUAAAUUUUUUGAAGUGUUUACUAAGAGGUUUUAGUUGGAGAUGUUUAACGGCAAUUCUCGACGUUAGUGAUAAGAAAUACGAGCUAAAGAAUUAGGGACAUUGUCAAUUGUCUUCAUGGGUUUUUUUUGGAGGGGAACGAAGUAUAUUUGUGUUCAAUUAUGAUUGCUAAGUGCAGUUAUGUUUUAAGAGCAGGGAUGACCGUUUCAUUUAAUUCAAAGUCAUUUUCUAUUUAUAUAUAUAUAUAUAGAGAGAGAGAGAGCAGAGAUGGCCUGGUUUUGCAUUUUUAAGUCAGUCUCAAGUGUAAAAGCCUUGAACUCGAGAGGUAGACUGGUAGAGUAGAAGAGGCGUUUUUGUGGUUUUUAUUGUUUUCGAAGGGUGUUUUCGGGUUUGGAGGACAUUUAGGCAACUUGCAUGGUUUGUCGUAUGUCACAUAUUUAGAACAUUAUAGAAUAAUAUCUCGGUCGCUGUUGUUCUUUUAAGAAAAUACACUCACAGAUCUGUGAAGAGGGGCAGGAAACGUCAAAAGCUUUUGUCGGUCUUUGUGGAAGCACGAAAGAUCUUCCUUACCAUUAUUUUUGCGUUACCAGAACUCCACCCUGCCCGUUCUUUUCUACGCUGCAGCACUGGGGGUGCUGCCAAGUGCUCAUUAUUGGUUAUGUGAGCUAAUGAAAGGAGGUGUAUGCAUGUAUGUGUAUGUGUAUGUGUAUAUUAUAUGUAUGCAUGUAUUUUUAUAUUUAUAUUAUAUAGGUUGGGGGAUUGUUGAAGAAAAUUGAGGUGGGAUGUUGCGGCAAUCCCAUGCAUGAUCCUAUAGUUGCCUAUAUAUAGUUGCUAGAGAUUUAUUUGGUUCGCAAGGAGAAAAAGAAAUAUACAUAUAUAGUCACCAAAAAUAAAAAAUAUUUUAUUUAGUUUUAUUUAAAAAAUAAAAAAGUAGAAUAAGAUUUUUAUAUUUUAUAAAAGAAAAUUAUAUAGGACAUAAAAGAUCUCGGGCCUAUCGGUUGAAAAUUGGGAUAAUUUUUUUUCAAAAAUGCUCUUAAACUUUUAGAAAAAAUAGAAUAAGAUCUUUCUUUUAUUAAAAAUAUAAUAGAUAUUUUAUAUAUUUUUUUAAAAAAUAAAUGUUCAAUCUAACAUAAAUCACUCUCUGCAAUGUGCCACUUUUUUAUGGUCAAUUAAAUAUACAAAACUUAGUUUUAAGAGAUUAUAUCCUCUAGAAAAAAAUUAUUAAUUUAUUCAACACUCAUCCGCAUACAACUAUAGAUAUAAAACCAAAUUAAACAUUAUAAAUUAACAAAGCGGCGAUUGCUGUUUCCACCUUUUAUUGACCCCGGUGACAAACACACUUUAGAAAACAAUACCAUUAGCAUAAAUGUUUGUAGUUUGCAGAAAUUUUAAUUGUGUAUGCUCGCUAACGUAACAAUAAUGUGGUCUUGUAUUGAAAAUUUCAUUAAGAUGCAACCUGAUCAAAUUUACCUGUCCUGGUAUCUUAUUUUUUUGAAAAAAAAGAAGUUGAAAAAGCUUGUAGGUUGAAUAAAGUGGUAGUUUGUAACUUUGUAUGAGACAAUGUUGGUGCUUGGCUCGACCCAACUUGUUCAGGUCGCACCCGCGAACCACAAUUUCUGUCAGCACCAAGAGCCAUCCACCCAUUGCUCAAUAUACCCUCAUUGCGACGCUUAUGAUGCAUGCGGGACUUCCCAAAACAAUCUCGCUGCACAACUUGGAUGCUUCGCAAAAAUGCCCUGAAACAAUUGCAAAUUGUACAAGUGCAGGAGCUGCCGGCGCACCACCGGAGCGACGCCGUGAGCAGCUUGGUUUAUGAAGCAAAUGCUCGUGUCCGAGAUCCAGUUUACGGAUGUGUUGGAGCCAUCUCCUCCCUCCAGCGCCAGAUCGAGGCCCUCCAGACCCAAUUGGCCAUUGCACAGGCUGAGAUGGUCCACCUCCGAACGCGCCACGCCGCCUACCUCGCCCACCUCAGCUCCCGGAGUCCCAUGGUGGUGGGGAUGACGAGCACCGGUGCCGGCACCGCCUCCUCGUCCAUGUCGUUGCCCAAGCAGCAACUGAUGAAGCCUGACCAACAUGGACCCAAGCCUCUUUUCGCCCUUGACAUGGUCAUGGUCGACCAGACCAGCUUGGGCGAACCACCGAUAUGGUCUUGCUAGUCUGACCAUCUCAUUUCAUUGUUUUUUUUCCCCUUUGCUUCUGCUUCUGGGAGAGUAUCUAAGUCAAAUUAUCAGCAAAAAUAUGCAAGUAUUUUGUCCAUGGAGGCCAUAUACUGUCUUACAUGAAGCCAUAUAUAUAUUAUAUUAUCCUCGGUAUUGUUCAAUAGGUACCAUAAUAUUUUACUUGGAAAGUUUAAUUAUGCAAGGCUUUUGUUGGGUCCAAAGUGGUCCUUUUUAUCUAUAAGCAUGAGUUUGUCAAUGAUACCCAUCACAUGAGCCAUGAAGCAGAAUUUGUUGACUCUUGAGCUGUAGAGUAGAAUCUAGUAGCCCCAAAGGAAUUGAACACCCCAGGUGAUGAGAUGGGCUGCUGCAUUUGGCAGCCUUUUCCAUGGCGCAUGUGUUCGAGUGCCACCUGCAUACCAGGAUGACAAACUGUAUCAGUUGGAUGCCAGGAAAACUUAAAAGAGUCAGUAGAUUGAAAGAACAAUGUAAUUUCUUAAUAGUUUGUCUUUCCUUUUUUUCCCUGUCUCUUAAAGGUGCAACCAAAGAAGAGAAAAUUAAGAACUUAUUUAACGAAUAAGGAUUGCCUCCUAUCUUCCUUCCCCAAUCUGUCAAUAAAUAAGCAAAGUUCGCCAACAACCAAACUCAUCAUUGAGGAAGAAAAAAAAGAGCAGAAAAAAAAUUGUCCAAAGUACCUGAUUAUUUGUUUUAAGGCAAUACUUACUUGCUACUCCCUUAACAUGCGCAAAUUCAUAAGUAUCCAAUGAGCUGGUCGAGCUCAAUUUAGCAACACCUACACAAGCUUCCACAAUAUAUAAACGUGGAGUCCCAAACAACUUCACAGUUGGAAUCUUGAUUCACACCUUCUUGCCUUUCCAGAAAUAAAAUCUGCACCCAAAAAUCAGAUCCCCUCCAUUUUUGGGUUGAAACUACUCUGACAGAUUCCUCAAUCCAGCAGCAUCAAAUUUUUAUGGGAUUCACAUGCAGUGACUACCUUCCAUCAGCAACAAUUUUGACAUUUCAUGAAUCAAACAUUCAACACCCGCUAAUAUAUGAUACCAAAGAUCUCCCAAUCUCUUGCAUAAUUCGAAAAACUAAAAUAGUAUCUGCACAGCUGCGUUUCAGAACGUACAUUCUCUACUGCAUAGCACAACCCCAUGUUAUUAAGAUUCAACAUGGAUAGACUACUUGAAACUAGAUGAUCAAGUAGUGAGAGAUCAGCAUCAGGCUCUAUUAUAGAUAUAAUGACGACUGGAAGAGAAUGGAGGAGAAAAAUAAUAAACAAAAAUAGCACCAAUGAUUUGGUGAGACAAUAGGAAAUAUUUAUAAUAACCGAAAACGCAGCAGAUCGAAAUCUUACAACAGCUACGAGCAUCCGUCAACCUAUAGGCCUUUCUUUUACUAUUUUAGCACUCUUGACUGUUGAUGGUUCUGAUUGUUUUGUGCUUCACAUCUGAAGUUGCAAAACUGUACAAAACUUUCAGUUGUGGUCAUGUCAGAUGUUCGUUAUAGUAAGCCAAAUGAGUCCUGAAAUGACAGAAACUUCCCUGCGAUAUUGCUUGGCAUCUUAACCACAUGUGAAGUUGGGAGAUAAAUCAUGCCUGUAGAUUUAGGAGAAUCACAUUGCAGAUCAUCAAUAAUCAUCAUCGUCAUCUCCCUAAAAAAUCACACUCUCCUCCAUUUGAACCUGAACAACCAAUUGAUCAUUCAUCACUGACUACAGUCUUGCUAUGGUCCGCCAUCUGGUGCACUUAUAUCAAUUAAGGAGACAAAAGAAACCUCUUGGGCUAUGCUUCUCGCAGCAGUAGAGCUUACUUCAUAGAAAGUCCCAUACUGGUAUUGAAUAAUGGCCCUGAUCACUGCUCUGGUGGCCCAGUUGCGGAUUGCUCCCAACAAAUUGCAGGGAGUGCAUGUCCGAAGCUGGGCAGGCCUGCACAUCAUUCUUUAAAAAAAAGAAAAGAAAAAUGCCAGUUAACAUAUUGUUCAUCAAAAACCUAAUGAACAAGCCAUAGAGUAGAAAUAACUCAUUGCUAGUUUCAAACCAAAGUUGGCAGUUAUCAUGUCACAAUUCAAACCAACACUUUGUAUACCAUCAAUGCAAAUGUCAGGCAUCCCUUUGCGGAAUCAUUAUCUUGACACACCAUACACAUGGCCUGAUACUAGCGUCUGGCCUCUAUGGGACUUACUUGAGAACAGAAAACUAAAAAUCCAAUUUUUGAUGAAUUAAUUUGACAAAAUCAUUACCUGGCCUAACUCAGUGUUGCCAUGGAAUGGUUGUUGCUGUAGCACAGUGGCCGGAGACUCUUGCACCUGUCAUGAAAACUAUCAACUUUAGACAGGCAACAUAAAACACUUCGAAACACAUGCUUCCAUUAAGCUUACCUGACUAAAUUGUGUCAUGUUAUGAAAACCUUGAACAGAACUUAAUCCAAAUUGAUGACCGGAAACAUAAGAUCCCUGUGCAAUAUUAAGAAAAAGAGGAUUCUAAAUCAAAAUUUCACAAACAAAUGACAAGGAAAUAUUCAAAAUACCCAUAAUCAAAAAGCUACCUGCAUGAACUGACUAGGUGCAAAGAACUGAUUUGGAGGAUUCCUGGGUUGAGCCGGCAUCUCAUCUGAUGGUGCAGGUGGUUCAUCACUCCUAGUUGUAAUUUCUGCAUCACCAGAUAGUCCUAGAAUCCAGGCAACAAUAACGUUAUAAACAAAGACCUACAAUUUUUUGGUCCUAGAAUAGCAUUAAAAGAAAGAAGAGUACGGAAGCAUCUAUCUUUAUGCAAACCUUGUCUUCCUUUUUGCCGUUUAUUUGACUCAAACCCGUUCUGAUUCUUACGACGAGCAUCUCCAUUCUUCUUCUUUUUCCCACCUGCCCUGGGAGAUUCGCCAUUAUUACUUUCAUUGUGAACCAGAUUGUGUGGUUGACCCUUCGAAACAGUGCUUGGGGAAGACUUCUCAAGAAGUCUUGCUUGCAAAAUAUGCUCAACCUGUUCCAACAGCUGAUCUGAUUGGCUUUCCAUGAAUGAAUAUGCCUCUGCAUUUUCUGCAGCUCUUGCUGCAAGUUUGUACAAUAUGCCGCAUAACGAGCUGUAACGCUUAGGCAGAGAUGACUUCGGGUCACCAUCAAGUGCAAAGCUAUGAUUAUCUCUUGCCGACCCAACUUUUGCAUCCUUUGUCCACCUCUUCAAGACAUAUUGAAGUGGGAGUUCUUUAGUAUUUCUUAAAUCAAGUAUUUUCAGCACAUGGAAGCAUUGAACCCCAGCAAAUUCAAACUUUUUGCAGCUGCAAAUGGCCGAACCAUCUGCAGAGUCAAAUCUAACAAAAUGCUCUUUAGUUUUACCCUUGACAGUAACCACAUACUGAGAUAUUGUCCCGACCUCACCACAACUAUAAACCAUACAAUUCAUUAUCAAUUCAAAUUCUAAUCUAAACAUUUCAAAAACUGCAGGAGUAUAAACAUUUGCAGCUUGCCACAGUAAGCGCAAAGGAGGUAUUCUAGAAGUCCUUUGAUUUGCAUGAUAAUCAGCUUGUUGUUCUGCAAAUCGUCGCUCUUCCAGUAAUCUAUCAUACUGCUUGAAAAAGGAUAAAAGAUCUGUCUCUAGUUUCAAGUAUUCCUUUAGUACACUGUUCAAGUUUUCAUUUCUUAUUGUAUUUGCAAUGUCUGCACAAAAAAUUUCACGUGCGUGCACCAAAGCCCACUUCUCCCUUUCCUCAUAUAACUUACGCAACCAUUCAUUGUCCUUUAGAUCAUACUUCUCUAACAUUGUUUCCCAUGCUGAUAGGAACUCCUCCUUAUCUUCACAAUCAUACAAACAUCUACUAAAAUCUAAUGCAAAAGUUUCUGAGCCUUCAAAAACAUGACUUAAGUUCUUCAUGGCAUCUUGGUGGAUCUGCCACAAGCAUAGGCGAUGCAUUGUGCCUGUCCAUAUAGCAGCUAUUGCAUCAUACACUGCAGCAGACCGGUCUGUCAAAACUGUUCUCGGUUGUUUUCUGCACAUUGCAGUCUUGAAAGUCUCAAACAACCAUUUGAAGGAUUCUACAGUUUCAUCGUAUAGUAAUGCAGCACCAAAGAUAGUGAUUUGUUUAUGAUGAUUAACACCAAAAAAUAAUGCAAAAGGCCUGUCGUAAUCAUUUGUUCUGUAAGCUGUGUCAAAACAUACUACAUCACCAAAGUAGUGAUAGUCCAUCAUAGAUUGUGCAUCCGCCCAGAAUAUGUUUGUCAAUUGAUCUUCUUCAUCAACUUGUAUGGCAUAAAAAAAAGAUGGGUUUUACUUUUCAUCUUUUGCAAGUAUUCGAGCAGGGCCCCUGCAUCACCAUUCUUCAUGUCCUUCAUUCGCUUUGACCUGAGAUAGUUUCUGUAAUCAGCAGGAAUUAGACUGGUACUUCGACGGCCUCCAGGUUGAACCUUAGCUAAAAGUCUCUGUGACCUUAACAUUUGAAUAUCCAAUGGAGCUGCAAGCUGAUGAUUGUGGUCAGCUACAAAUUCACUGAUGCAGUAUUUACCACUAGGUGUAAUUUUGAUUGCCAUGCGUGCAGGACAACCAGUUCUGGUUUCUGGACGUGUUUUUUUUUCAUCAUUUGUCACAGUCUUUGGGCGGAAUCCUUCUCUUGAGCACACAUAAACUCUUGAUCUAGUUACAUUUCUUGAAGAUUUAUCCCACCAACCUUUUCUAAUACUGAAACCAACAGUUCCAGCAUAUUUAACAUAGAACUCGUAAGCCUUAUCUUCAUUUGCAAACACCAUGCCAACAUUUGGCUCCCCUCCUAUAUUUGUAGCAUCUUCAGCAGGGACAGCUGGAUCUGCUUCUGUCUUUUCAUCCUGUCUACUAGAAAUCUAGAAAAAAAUAACGAUUUCAGAAAAAAUCAGUGUGCUAUGAAAUUAACAGCAUAAGAUGCAAGGAAAAAUGUGUAGGUAACAAAAGGAAGAAGAGGCAAAGAGGUUCCGGUUAAUAGUGGCUUGCACAACAAAUCACUUUUAUAGUUACUUGUAUAUUCUAAAAUGUAGAGACUUCACAAGCCAUGCUAUGAUUUCACUUUUUCCGUCCAGUUGAAGCCUUGAACACCAUUUUAAGUAAUAACCGAACUGUAACAGUAGCCAUGGUUUAAAGUAACCAAAUAUAUAUCAUAGCAUACUUCUUUUCCGGGAUCAUCCAGAAGAUCUCAUAUUAAUAUGAAAUUAUGAAGCAAACAGUACCAGGACAUUCAUGUGCAAUAUUAUGUAAUGAUAUGAAACAACUUUACUAAUGCUUUCAUGACAAGAAUCCUGUUGGGAUAUUGCAUUUUCUCAGAAGAGAUCCAUAUAAACAUAGUGCUAGUAUUACUCAACCAUAAAAUAAUUCUUCAUAAUAAUAUAUGGUUCUAGAUGGAGAUAUAUCAAGGUUAUGUUAUUUUUGAAUGAAAAUGUAGGUCAAAAUACAAUAAAUAAAAAUAAGUUUUUUGUGAAUUAGUCCCCAUAAUCUUCUUUAUUUGCAUAUUAAUCCUUCUCUUUUCUCUAUUUGUAGUUUAAUCCCUAAAAUCUUGUAACUUAUUGCUUAUAUACCACUCACGUUAAGCUAGCUAAAAGAUAAUGGUUUCUGGUUAUAUUCUUCUAAUGGUGUUAAUUUCAUGUCUUCUAGAUUUUGUUCCCCUGAGCUCUCACACUUAAUCAAUCCUUUAACCCAUGCCCAUCUACCAUCGGUCUCCUAGAAGCCAAGUGCCAAGUAAUGAGAGAGCAAAGCCAGCAAGAACAGAUUCAAUCUAAAGCCCCAUUUGUUGUUAAGCUAUGGGCAUUUUUGUCCUUUUACAACCCUAGUUAACCUUAACCAGGGUUCGGUCAAUGAAAUCUAGUGGAAGGAACGAUUUAUAUAAAUAGAGAACUAUACGAGGAUUUUUAUAUAAAUAUGAAAAGGAAAGGAUUAAUAUGCAAAUACGAAUGUUUUUAGGGACUAAUAUGCAAAAACUCAAUAAAAUGUUAUCUUCUUUUUAGGAUAAAAAAUAAGAUUAUUUUGAAGAGAAAACGUGUAAAAGAGUCAACUUCUUCCGUGCUGCAUGGAUUAAAUAUUUCACGAUUUCAAAUAUGUCAUGUUUACUGAUGAUCUUCACGUAUAUUAGUGAUGGCUUUUGCAUGUUUCUAAAGUUUUAACAUAAGUAUUUGUAUAACAAGCCAAAUAAAGAAGAGAUAUUCCUAAAUGUCUGUAUCAUAUGAUUAUUAUUUUGCAAAUCACCAUACAUGUAAUAUUUGAAGAAAAGUAUUUCGACAUCAUCACUAUCACUUUUGUUGUCAACAUCAGUUAAUUAAAAUAUGAGUGUUGUUAAUGGUAUUCAUUUUAAUUACCCUGAUAGCAUAUUUGUCUUCGGUUAAAUAUCCAUCAAAAUUGCUCUAACAAAAAAAGGAAACUCUUAGGCAUGCACCCUAGGCUGGACAGCAUCCUAGGUGCCCGACUUAGGAUCCAAGUGUCUCAGUCACUAAGCAAGUGUCUGUGUGGCUGCCCAGGCUUAUUACGGUUGAGUGAGGCAGGUCUGAACAUUGCUUGGCAGGUUGGAUAGUGUUGUCAGAAGAAACAAUUACGUUUUAAAGUACCACUUCUUCCUGCAUUAAGUAUCUAACAGAAUAAGAGAGAAUCUAGAACAAUUGCUGGAGGAAUUCUAGGACAUUAGCAAGCGAGGUAGAAAUAGAUAUUGCAGUAGCAGCCCCGAAAUCUAUAUGCAAGCCUAUUCCAAUACUUCUAACCUUCAAGGAUUAAAAUACUACAGAUCAAUGCAAUAUCAAGAAAGGAUGGGUACAGUAUGCUAGCAGCAAGGAUUGUACUGACAAAGGGUAUUGAUGGGUAUACAUAAAUACGCCCCGAACAACCUUGGUAUGGCUUUUUUGGCCACCAAACUCUAGUUUUGAAUUCUUUUAUCAUGUUUUCUUACCAAAUGCUAUAUUUUCAGAAGAACUAUGAUAAAGUCAAGGUUUCUUGGGUGUGUUAAAGUCUUCUUCUUCUUUUCUUUUUUUUUUUUUUUUUGCUAGACCUAAAGGGGAAAGGGGGAGGAAGGGACAAGCCCAUCCCUGCAUAGCAGCCCCCACUGGGCCCCUGCCCCGCCAGGAGAAUGUUCGAUGCGGGCAGAACUGACCGUGUGUUGGGCACGCCGGCCAUUUUUACUCAUACCUUCCCCACCCGUGGCCCGACUCAGUUACCCCUCUGGGCCCCGACCCGAACCUCCGUGUGAGUACGUCACACCCGGCACCACCGAGGCUACCAGCGGACCAAUAAGCCCUCCCACCCCACGUGUCCGAGCGGGGGGCAUCCGGUCCCCUCAUUUAAUCGACGCCCGCGCGUUUCGAACUCGAACCGCACAUGUGGAAGUAAUGGCCCAGUUCCACUGAGCUACCACCUCAGUGGCUGUUAAAGUCAUUAACAUGCAUAAAUAUCACAUAACUUGCAAUCCAAAAUACAUUUAAAAGAAAAGACGCAUUAAAGUUAGAAAUUGGAAUGAAAGCAAAUAAAGAAAGAAUAUUUCCAUAACAUCAUUUCAAUCCAAAAUCAUUCAAAUGACUGUUACUAUCAUGACAAUAGAGGAGGUAAUUGUGUCAAAGGGCAAAUUGAAGGGGUAUAAGUGUAUUUUUCCAUUCAAAAUUUAGGAUAACUUCAUGUCUUGGCUCGAGUAAAAUCUAAGCGUGACAAAAUCAUUCCUAUUAUGGAUCAAAUUUUGGUGGCAUAUGCCUAUCAUUAGUACAAACAUUAUUGUAGAUUAGAUGAUUUAGUGUGAAAGCCAUUGUAGCAACUCAUUUCUCUUCCUGCCACUUGUUUCCACUUUCAAAUAGUACAAAAUAAGAGAGAAUCACACUGUAACCCGCUUCCCAAGAAAUGCCCAGGUGUAUCACUUGGUCCGAUAGCAAGUCAAGGUCAGUUUAGGCGAAAACCGACCAAAAUCCACCCCCAAACUACUCAAUCCACCUUGAUCUAGGCGGUUUAGACAUUUUCUGCCUAAAUUAAGCCUCCCUCUACCAACACUUUUCUCACUCCCAGUCACGAUACUGAUUGAAAUGGGUGGUACGAGAUGAUUCCGCAAAAUUUGGACUAAAGCAGACCGGUUCGGCUCAAAUAAGGAACCAAAUCUCGAUACUGCAUCGGUACCUUAUCAGGCCGAUAAGGCAACACUUGGGAGAUCAUUUAGUGAAUAUAUCCUCUAAGAAAUCUACCCCUGCCAAGGUCAAGUUUUAGGACUGGUCAAAUGUUAGAUCCAACAAGGGAUCAGGUUUUUCAAAUCAUUGAGCAUGCUUCUAGGUCCUCUUCCGCUGCUUCGUUGUUUCCAUCUGCAAUAUGAAAGUCUCCUUCAAUUGCUCCAUCUUGGUUUCCCUGUUCUGUUGAAACUUUUGCUAACAAGUUUUUGCCAUGCCAGAAUCAAAAGCUCCAAUACCAAAUGGCAUAUAGCUGCUCCAUUUUAUAGACUCUAGAGAACCCUAAUAACUCCUGGUCAUAGUAGUAAUUGACUCCUAUGCAAUAACUAAAGUAUACCUAAAAAGGAUAAUAAUACAAAAUUUCCAGAAUAACAAAAAGUUUCUAAAGGAUUUGGACUGUAUCAUAAAAUCCCUUAAAUGUGACUACUAAACCAAUUAAGCUCAUCUCCAUCUUUAGCAGCCCCCUUUCUUCUCCAAAACAUCACAAGGUCAUAUCAGUUAGGAUUGUUCUCAAUCAUUUUUAUUUGAACCUCUUCAACUCAUCGCAAUGUCUUCUUUCACCCCAAGUAGUUUACAACCAAUCAUUUUUGGUCAGUAUCCCUCUCUCUACCCUAACUAUGAUUCAUGCAGUUCUCUUUAACUAUUGUUGUCCCUGCUCACUUCAGCUCACCAAGUAUCAUGCACUUAGUGUGUAGGCGUUCAUUUCUUGUGACUAGAGUCUAAUUCUUAUACAUAUACGAUACUUUGGACCUGAUAGGUAUAGCUUGUUGUAAAUAUUUUCAAAAUCAACCAUUUCAAUAAAAAAAAAACAUGAGUGCCAGUACUAUGUAACAAUCAACAUGACAUAUCAUCGGAGGUCAUUGUCAAAAGGGCAAAUACUGUAACAAUAUCUAGCACCAUUUGUGCAUUCUAAAUGAAGAAACUGGAAAUGAUUUUAUUAUAUUUACGUGGUGCAAAUCACUGUGUUUCCCUACAAGAAAUGAUUUUUGCUAACUAGUAUUUAACUAAGGAUUCUUAAAGUUAUAAGAAAUGGAGAGUUUGAAUAAAAUGUCAUUUGCAUGAGUUCUCAUUUCCUAAUAUGAUGCAGCUCUCUUAAGAGUAUUGAAUAUGUAAACAUAAACCAAUUUCUGUUCACUGAAAUUUCAAAUUUCAGGUUUUAUUGAUCAUGAUAGGAAUAUAUUAAAAUUCUAUGCAAAUAAAAAAACUUGCAUGUGCAAAUAUAAUUCUAAGUUAUAACUUAUGGAAGGAUGAUUUCCAGCUUUGCACAUGGGAACAGUAUGUGGCAUUGUUUAGCUUNNNNNNNNNNNNNNNNNNNNNNNNNNNNNNNNNNNNNNNNNNNNNNNNNNNNNNNNNNNNNNNNNNNNNNNNNNNNNNNNNNNNNNNNNNNNNNNNNNNNNNNNNNNNNNNNNNNNNNNNNNNNNNNNNNNNNNNNNNNNNNNNNNNNNNNNNNNNNNNNNNNNNNNNNNNNNNNNNNNNNNNNNNNNNNNNNNNNNNNNNNNNNNNNNNNNNNNNNNNNNNNNNNNNNNNNNNNNNNNNNNNNNNNNNNNNNNNNNNNNNNNNNNNNNNNNNNNNNNNNNNNNNNNNNNNNNNNNNNNNNNNNNNNNNNNNNUAUACAAGUAACCAAGCAGUACCGUGUUCAGAACUGGCUAAAUGCGAUAUAUCCAUUGUGAAAGAAGGGGACUAGAGAAAUAGAGAAGGAGAGGGGAGAAUGUCUCUCUUAAAGAAUAAUUUGUUUGAAUACAUUCUUUGAGUAAUUAUAUAUAAAAGAAAUAUAUGUUAAUAGAAGUUUGUUAUCAAACAAGUUAGGGGUGACCUAUCCAUCCCAUCCCAUUCCUAUGAGAAGACAGGAUUUGGGAGGGAGGUUCUUCAAAACCCAUCCACGAGGCGAGAGAAGAAGAAAGAGGAAAGAGAGAAAGGAAAGAAGAAGCAAAGGAAAAAAAGGGGAAAAGAAUGAAAGAAGAAGAAAAUAGGAAAGAAAAGAAUGAUGGAAGAAGAAAAAGAAGAAGGAAGGAAAGAAGGAAGAAAGGAAAAGAAAGAAAAAAAGGGAAAGAAAGAAACGAAGGGAGAACAAAAAGAAAGAAAUGAAAGAAGAAAAGGAGGAAGAUAAAAGGCAUCCCGUUCUGUAGAGAAACCAAGACACAUCUAUCCCAUGAGAUUUAAAACAUUGAUUUCGAACUUUUUUAACUAUAGUAAAUAUUAACAUAAUAUAUUUAUUAACUAACGAUUGAUUGCCAAACAUAUCAUUGUUAUGUUUCCUGUGCUACAACAACAAAAAUAUUAUUUUAUAUCAAAAAAGUUAUUUUGAAUAAUUUAACUAUAAUUAAUAUUAAAAUAUUUCUCGAAUCUCUUUCAUGAGAGAAGAGAAGAAAAAGAAAAAUGGUUAGGAUGAUUACUUUUGGGAGAGCAAGAUCAGGAAUAAAUUACUCCACCCCUCCCAGUUGAGUAAUUUACUAGGUGGAAUCUGGGUUAAUCAGAUUAAAUUUAUGUACUAUGGCAGAAUAGCUGGGUUGACUCCUUUUUAUCCUCCCUUACUCCAUUUCCAAACAUGGCCUUAGAUGUUCGUAUUAAAAGUCAAGAGUGCAAAGACAUGGCAAGCUACUAUUUGAACUAUGAAUAUUGCAUAAGCUUUGCUCAAGGCCUUAGGGGGGAAGAAUUACCUGUGACUCAUCUCUUCUAAGAAACCUUCCUCCAAUGCCUCGCUGGCGCCUUUCAGCCAAAGCUCGUCGUGAAGAAACCUGCAAAGAAGAAGCGUAUUGCUGUGCAACUGAAAUUGAGCCACUGAACUAUAAAGUGCAGAGAUGCAGCCAAAGAUACCAGUAGUUUAACACAAAAUGCAUUUCUGUCAUUAACAUUCUGAUGUCAGAACUACAACUAUCUGAAAUCUACUCAUCUUUCAUAGAUCCAAACAACAUGUGUUUUUCUUUUUUCAAAUGAAGUGCAUGUAUCUGACAACAUUGAAGCCAAAAAUUUGCAUCUUUACCUUAACAGGCCUCUGUACACCCUGCCUAUUUGUCCGCUUCAUCAUGUAUCUGAUAAUAAUAUCCCUCCUUUCCUCUUGUGUGUAUCGAGACACUCUUACACCAAGUUCCCUUAGCAGCCGAGACUCAGCAGUAUUGGCUACUGGGAUUGCCUUCCCAUCAUCUUUCUGCUUCUCACCAUCCUUCCCAGCAGCAGCUGCCACUGCCUGUGCUGGCAUACCAAUAGAUGGAAUAGGAGGUUUCUGCCCCACAUCCUUCUCCGCGACUGCUUGUUCUUUUACUGGAGGACCACUAUGGACCUCAACCCCACGGUCGCCGCCUGCCACCCCUACCUUCUCUGUUGAACUCUCAACUUGGAUGAUCUCCCCCACAUCCCCAUCUUUCUUUGCUGCGGCUGUUGCCAACCUGCGAGCUCUCUUCUUAUAUGGUCCCCGCUUCUGUUUCCCUGCAUUAGUACCUGUGAACUUUCUGUACAUAAGAUAAUUCCCUCUCCAACACAAGAACCUCUGCAUGAUUAGAGCCCCACUGCCCGCCGACCGCCUGUUGGAGCCCGUCCGAGCCUUAAAGCCGGACUUCUCACCAUACUCAUAAUAGAAAGCCUUUGCAGCCUCCACGGAUUCAAACUCCAUGCCCAUGACCGGCACCAAUCCUGCACCGUCUUUACCGGCAUCCUGGCGUGGCAAGAGCUCAUGGUUGUGCUCCACGACGAGCUUCGACACUGUCCACUUCCCAUGCACCUUCCCGACCACCUCCAUCAUCGCCUUACAUCGGUGCUCCGCCGGCGCCUCCCCCGCCGGCGGCCCCCUCCCGGAAACGGCGACGCCUGCCUGCCGCAUAUAGAGGUAAUUCCGCAUGAUGCAGGCCACCCGGAGGGCGCACUCAUUGUAGAGCGUCUGCCCCGCCGCCGACCCCUCCGUCCCCUUGGCCGGGGAUUCCUUCACCUCUCCGGCGGCAGCCACGCUCUCCGCCGGCUCCUCCGGCUUCUCCAGCGUGCCCUUCUCCUCGUCCACCUUCAACUCCUCUUCCGCUGUCUCCUCCUCCUUUCGCCCCUCCUCCUCCGCCUCGUCCGGUGCAUCGCCCCUAAUCUCCGAAAUCAGCACCAUUUCCACGAACUGAAAUCGAAAUCCAACCCCUGGAACCAGAAAGAUUCGAUCCGUUACACAAAUCGAAGCCCUCCGAACUCUAGAUUUCCGAAUUGUGGGCAAGAGAUUUGAAAUUCGAAACCCUAGAGGUAGAAGACAUCGCAGGAGAUGAGAGAGAAGGGAGCAAACCCUACAAAGUUUGGAGGGAAUGUAUCUUACCGGGCUUUUUCUUUUCUAUAUUUUGUGUGUAUUUUUUUUCUCUUUAAAAUACGCGACCACGCUUGCGACGCUUCCCGCAGGGGAUGGACGGACGAGGAGAGCUCUGCGCGCGGCGAGGCACAAAUCAGCGGGGCGCGGCGAGCCGCCCGGAACAAGAGAGCAGGGCCGUUCCGCUGCUGGUGCCACUUGCCUACGUGGUUCGAGCGGGCCCCUCGCAAUAACUAUUUAUUUAUUUUUUUGGUGCACCGGUUUUUUGCAACAUAAAUAUAUUAUAUAACCAUAGCCAGUAAAACUAAGGAAAAAAAAAAGUUGCCGUAGAAGAAACCUCUAAAAUAAUACGCUUCAAAUGAAGCCGCCCAGUCAACUAUUAUAUUUAUCUUCCGGUAAAUAUAAAUAGCUCUAAAAGAGCUAUAGUUCUCAUUAUGAAGUAAAAACUGCCUGUCCAUGUGGUGCAUCGUCCUCGAAUUUUUUCGAUCAUGGUAGCCCAAUCUCUUCUUCGAAUACCUCUAUUUAUUCGAAGGGCCGAUUUGUAGGAAGAACUUCUAAUCUUGGUGAUGAGUUGACAACGCGGAUUAAGAGAGCAUUUCUGGUGCCACGUCGUUAAGAUUCGGAUCGGAGAGAAUAAUGGUAGGAUCCAUUACGCUUUACGGGAGUAGCAGGAGUCCUCACGUGGAUAUCACGUGAUGAAGGCGCGCAACGACUCGGUGCACUUAGGGGGCGUUUGGUAAUCCCAACAGGAUCACCACGGUGAUCCGAAUGCUGGGUGAUUUGAUCUCCAGUGAUCUAAGAUCAAUGUGUUUGGUAGGCCAUAGUCCAGUGAUUAAAAAUUUCUGUAACUUAUUUAGUAUGGUAUGGGGAUCCAAGAUCACCGACCACAUAAUACCACAAAUAUCCCUGAUAUAUCCUAGAUGGAUUUUUUAUGUGUUUUUAAUUCUCAUGAAUAAAAAAUAUAAGUCAAUAUGCUAAUUCCUAUAAUAGCUCCAUAAUUUUGUCACAUAUUAUACUUUUAGUAGCCCUUAUUACAUAUUUAUUAAUCAUAUAAAAUAUACUAUAAUAAAAUAAUUAAUAUGUUUAUCAAUAUAUUAAUUAAUAUAUUCUACAAAAUUAUAUUUAUUACUCCUAUAAAUUAUUAAUCUUAUAAAAAUAUGUUAUUUUUCAUUAUAGAAUUAAUAUUUUUAUUUACACUUAUAAUAUAUUUUUUAAUACUAAUAAUUAUUUUGAUUAGGAAAAUAAGGUAAAUAGGAGUAAUUCAAUAAAUAUUUUCAUUAUAUAAGUAUAAAAUAUAAUAAUAUAUUUCUACUAUAGCUUAAAAUUAUUCUUCAGUAAUAAUAGGAUAAUAAUUAUUAUCAGUAAUAUAUUAGAAUAUAAUAUAUAUAUAUCAUUAAUAUAAUAUAUAAUAUCAACAUAAUAUUAUAUAUAUAUAUAUAAUAUUGAUAUAAUAUAUUGAUGGUAUAUUGAUAUAUCAAUUUUUCUGCUAAAUUGAGGGGCAUUUUGGUCUUUAACUUUCAACCCAGGAUCACUGCCUUGGGAUGAUCUUGGAUUUCCGACCUCAAGGACAGAUAUCCUAUCACCGAGUUGGGCGGUGAUUUGAGGAGUGGAGGUAAUUUAGGAUCACCGCUACGUAAAAUCAUCAUGGUGCAACCAAACGUGGUGAUCUCAUCACCUCCAUCCAUAUCACCCUUGAUCCAGAGACAGUCACUCCAUACCAAAUGCUCCCUUAGGGUGUGUAUUUUUUUUUAUUUUCCCUUUCACGCUUCGCACCAAAGUCGCCUAGAAAAAUUUUAAGCGUGAAUUUGAAGGCCUAAGCACAAGCCAAGAUUUUAUAGGGACCUGACCUUAUGACAGAACAACAGAACCAUGAAAGAAGCCCCAAGUCGCAAAGUUCUCAGACUGCUCGUGAGCUCAAACUAGAUCCAAACUUUGAUUUAUAAAUUCUUAGCCUCUUCAACCAGGUAACGAGCAUUGAAUAAGAGUUCUAUCCUUCCACAUUCUCCGUGGCACGCGUUAGUGUUCCAAAAUGUUUGAGGCUGGUUGCCAUAGUAAUAGUGAUAAAGGCCCACUCAUUCAACAUGGCAUGGCCAGAGUGGUUCGACCCGAAAGGAUUGAUGGUGCAAUGGAAGGAUUAUCGGCUCAUCCGACUCCCAUCUGUUAAAGAUCCAGUCGAUAAGGCCAUGAUUAAAUGAGCAGUGUAAUCCACAAAUGCUUAAAUGAACAGUGUAAUCUUCAGCCAAAUCCUGUAGGAAUAUCCAAAUAAACUCUUAGUUAUUAAAAAAAACCCUGAAACACUUAAUCUUAAUAUCUAAAACUGAUUCCAUAUGCAUUUCUUCAACUUCAGAUGUUAACAAGCCAGAAACUAUUUUUUUGGUAACUGUCUUUCAAACUGAUGAACUUCCAAGUCAGCUCCAUUGUUUAUGCCCUCAGCAAUCCCACAUAAUAAUCACGAGCAAAUUCAAACACCCAUCCCCUAGAAACCAAAAACAAAAAACAUCACAGCGUAGUCACUUGGCUGAUUUUGCUGUGGUGCUGAUGUCCAAAUCUGUACAAAUAAAAAUAACUCUGCACUUAUGACUACUUCUCCAGAGACAUUAUUUCUUCCAUUUUUUUACAAAAUGCUGCCAUCAUUCAGAUAUUAGGAAACUGAUUUAUUCUAAUCCGAAUAAUCCAUACUGCAGAGCUCAAAAGCUUUGAAGAUGAUUCUUCCAGGACCACCAGACAUUAGAUAAAAACCUCACCUCUCAAUAGCACAACAUAAAUUUUACAUGGCAAUCUUCACAAAUUUUGACAAAGUACUUGCGUGUUGAAUCCCAGAAAAACAUUAACACCAUGUACCCCAUAAGUAUCAGAUCUGUGAAGGUCAGAUCAUCAAAUGGUGUCAUCACGUUUUCAUUUCAUCAUAACAAGAGGGAAAAUGAAAAUUUUAACAAUUAGAGAAUAAAUCAAAUAACUGCCAUAAAGAGUUCAGAUACCUGAAAAUCACAUCCCCAAUCAUAACAUCUCAUUCUCAAGGAGGAAAGGUUUGUGUAAUGAGGAAUACCAGAAUAUCCAAUCCUGCAUCACUAUUUUUCAAGCAAAAUCGUCAUAAAAAAUCAUCAGUUAUUCCAAAACUUAAUGGGCGUUCACGAAAUACAUAAAGAUAUGGUUACAAUAACUGUAUUCUUUGAUAACCGCAGCUAAAUAAGAUGUGCUUUCUUCAAAAAUCGGAUAGUUCUGCAAUAGUAUGGCCAAAUCGAUUCGAUGUAAUCCAGAUAUUUCUCAACUGCCCACUCUUCAAGUUGUUUGAACUUUUGUCUGAAUAGAGCUCUGUAAUCUAAGUUUUUGAUGACUAUUAUAGGCUUCCAGAAGAGGGCCCAGAGAA
rnacentral:lncRNA from 1 species